ACGAACGCUGGCGGCAUGCCUAACACCUGCAAGUCGAACGAUCCCUUCGGGGAUAGUGGCGCACGGGUGCGUAACGCGUGGGAACCUGCCCUUAGGUUCGGAAUAACUCAGAGAAAUUUGAGCUAAUACCGGAUAAUGUCUUCGGACCAAAGAUUUAUCGCCUUUGGAUGGGCCCGCGUUGGAUUAGCUAGUUGGUGGGGUAAAGGCCUACCAAGGCGACGAUCCAUAGCUGGUCUGAGAGGAUGAUCAGCCACACUGGGACUGAGACACGGCCCAGACUCCUACGGGAGGCAGCAGUGGGGAAUAUUGGACAAUGGGCGAAAGCCUGAACCAGCAAUGCCGCGUGAGUGAUGAAGGCCUUAGGGUUGUAAAGCUCUUUUACCCGGGAUGAUAAUGACAGUACCGGGAGAAUAAGCCCCGGCUAACUCCGUG
rnacentral:rRNA from 1 species